AACGUAGGACGCAAGCGUUAUCCGGAGUUACUGGGCGUAAAGCGCGGGCAGGCGGCUCGAAACGUCUGAUGUGAAAUCUCCUCGCUCAACGGGGAGAGGCCAUUGGAAACGGUCGAGCUGGAGGGCAGUAGAGGUAGGCGGAAUUCCGGGUGGAGUGGUGAAAUGCGUAGAGAUGCGGAGGAACACCGAUGGCGAAGGCAGCCCCCUGGGCCGACACUGACGCUCAGGCACGAAAGCGUGGGGAGCAAACAGG
rnacentral:rRNA from 1 species